GCCCCCGGAGUGAGCUGGAGUGAAAACCUUGCACUUGUAAUGCGUAGGUCGUCGGUUCGAAUCCGACAGGAGGCU
rnacentral:tRNA from 1 species